rnacentral:rRNA from 1 species
ACGGAAGGCAGCAGUCGGGAAUAUUGCGCAAUGGAGGAAACUCUGACGCAGUGACGCCGCGUAUAGGAAGAAGGUUUUCGGAUUGUAAACUAUUGUCAUUAGGGAAGAUAAAAGACUGUACCUAAAGAGGAAGCUCCGGCUAACUACGUGCCAGCAGCCGCGGUAAUACGUAGGGAGCAAGCGUUAUCCGGAAUUACUGGGUGUAAAGGGAGUGUAGGCGGGACUGUAAGUCAGAUGUGAAAUAUACCGGCUCAACUGGUAGACUGCAUUUGAAACUGCGGUUCUUGAGUGAAGUAGAGGUAAGCGGAAUUCCUAGUGUAGCGGUGAAAUGCGUAGAUAUUAGGAGGAACAUCAGUGGCGAAGGCGGCUUACUGGGCUUUAACUGACGCUGAGGCUCGAAAGCGUGGGGAGCAAACAGGAUUAGAUACCCUGGUA